rnacentral:rRNA from 1 species
AACACGUAAACAACCUGCCUUCAGGAUGGGGACAACAGACGUAAACGACUGCUAAUACCGAAUACGUUCCACGGGCCGCAUGACCUGUGGAAGAAAGGGUAGCCUCUACCUGUAAGCUAUCGCCUGAAGAGGGGUUUGCGUCUGAUUAGGCAGUUGGUGGGGUAACGGCCCACCAAACCAACGAUCAGUAGCCGGUCUGAGAUGAUGAACGGCCACACUGGAACUGAGACACGGUCCAG